GAUCGGCUAACUCCGUGCCAGCAGCCGCGGUAAUACGGAGGAUCCGAGCGUUAUCCGGAUUUAUUGGGUUUAAAGGGUGCGUAGGCGGCCUUUUAAGUCAGCGGUGAAAGUCUGUGGCUCAACCAUAGAAUUGCCGUUGAAACUGGGGGGCUUGAGUAUGUUUGAGGCAGGCGGAAUGCGUGGUGUAGCGGUGAAAUGCAUAGAUAUCACGCAGAACCCCGAUUGCGAAGGCAGCCUGCCAAGCCAUGACUGACGCUGAUGCACGAAAGCGUGGGGAUCAAACAGGAUUAGAUACCCUGGUAGUCCACGCAGUAAACGAUGAUCACUAGCUGUUUGCGAUACACUGUAAGCGGCACAGCGAAAGCGUUAAGUGAUCCACCUGGGGAGUACGCCGGCAACGGUGAAACUCAAAGGAAUUGACGGGGGCCCGCACAAGCGGAGGAACAUGUGGUUUAAUUCGAUGAUACGCGAGGAACCUUACCCGGGUUUGAACGCAUUCGGACCGAGGUGGAAACACCUUUUCUAGCAAUAGCCGUUUGCGAGGUGCUGCAUGGUUGUCGUCAGCUCGUGCCGUGAGGUGUCGGCUUAAGUGCCAUAACGAGCGCAACCCUUGCCACUAGUUACUAACAGGUAAAGCUGAGGACUCUGGUGGGACUGCCAGCGUAAGCUGCGAGGAAGGCGGGGAUGACGUCAAAUCAGCACGGCCCUUACAUCCGGGGCGACACACGUGUUACAAUGGCGUGGACAAAGGGAGGCCACCUGGCGACAGGGAGCGAAUCCCCAAACCACGUCUCAGUUCGGAUCGGAGUCUGCAACCCGACUCCGUGAAGCUGGAUUCGCUAGUAAUCGCGCAUCAGCCAUGGCGCGGUGAAUACGUUCCCGGGCCUUGUACACACCGCCCGUCAAGCCAUGGGAG
rnacentral:rRNA from 1 species